UUAAGUUCAGCGGGUAUCCUCGUCUGAUCUGAGGUCAAACUUCAAGAUUGAUGUUUUUUCAGGCGGGUAGGCCACCGGACCGCAGCUUGACAAUUAGCAAUUUUACUAUGUUUCGCUGGGUAGGGUGCCCGCAGAGCGCACAACUUUGAAGCCGGGGCCGCCCAACGGAAGUCAGGUUGGUACCAAGCUCAGCACCGGCU
rnacentral:misc_RNA from 1 species